rnacentral:rRNA from 1 species
GACGUAGGGCGCGAGCGUUGUCCGGAUUUAUUGGGCGUAAAGAGCUCGUAGGCGGCUUGUCGCGUCGACUGUGAAAUCCCGCGGCUCAACCGCGGGUCUGCAGUCGAUACGGGCAGGCUAGAGUUCGGUAGGGGAGACUGGAAUUCCUGGUGUAGCGGUGAAAUGCGCAGAUAUCAGGAGGAACACCGGUGGCGAAGGCGGUGAUCUGGGCCGGCACUGACGCUGAGGAGCGAAAGCGUGGGGAGCAAACAGG